AUGGAAGACCAAAGUGCAGUACAGGAGGGGUUGGAGGAAUCACUGAAAAUCAGUCAAAGUAAAAGGAUAACUGCCUUAUCAGCCAAUCAAAGCAACGAACUGAUGUUUGGACUUGUCUUUCUACGUAAAUGUCUUAACAUGAUAGUGUCUUACGAACAGUCGGAGGAACACAGAGCCGACACUUUAACCUCAAAGACUCCAAGUGGAUUUUCUUUGUCUACGCCCAGCCCUUUCUCCUCCAGAGCGCUGCCUUCAGGCGCGAGAGAGCCCUCGUGUGGAGAAACCCCUCAGCAGACUCUCAUCAUUGCGGCCAUUAGCAGUGCAAAACGGAGGAGCAGAUUGAGCGGACAGAUCUGCAAUAAGAAAGACUUGGAAUCGUGCAAUGGACCGAGUGGAUAUAGUGUCAGUGUCUCCAACUGGCUUUCACGGAAACCAUCCAUACUUAAAGAAUGUUCAUUAACUAGUCAGUAUGAUAUUAGUUAUCUAGUCCUACAAUCUUUCUAAUGGUGACUGGAGUGGAGAGUCAUUAUUCCAGUUGUGUUUACAAAGGGUCAUUCCAAGCAUUGGAAUUGCCGUCGGUGUUUAAUUGCAACCCAAGUAGUUUUUCUUCUUUCUCCUGGAUGUACUUGUCUUGAAAGUGCCAAGAACAGUUACGAAAAAAAAAAGGAAAAAAAAAAAGAAAUCAGUAGCUGCUAAGAGAUUCAUAUUUUUUGGAGUUAAACGAAAGUCCUAAAAAAAAUAUGAUUUUAUCCGUUUGACGUCACCAUGGGAUCAACCGUAUUUGUUUGCAUGAGGUGUCAAAAUCUGUCGCGUAUUUAAUAUCUUUCAGGUAGACAUAGGCCGACCUUGGAAGAGGGGUACCAGUCGCUCCAAAAGGUUACUUGUGAAUAUUGUUGUUUUUUAAGACGGUGUUGAGUCUUGUACAAGAUAACAGAUAGAAAACCAAUUGUAACUUCUUUCUAUUUUAAGCCUUUUUUAACGUGUGCAGGUGUUCACUCUUUUGUAGUAGACUAAUAAUUUAUUAUGCCGUGUAAGUGGGCCUUUCUUUUCGAUAUUCCUGUACAUAUUGAGAGGGGUAGGGAUAGAGAUGCAGUAUUUCUAGUGAUGUGAUGUGCGAGGAGGUGUGUGGAAGAGUCUAAUUGGACGCUUUGUUUUGUGUAGUAACAGGAGCCCAAGAAUAACGAGUCUCUAAAUUAUUUCUCAACGCAAUUGUUCCCCAACUUUUAAGCGAGAGGUUAGAAUUGCGCUAGAUGCUGAAGCUAUUCAGGUGUUCUCCCUUGAUUUAGCUGUGCUGUAUGGCUUCUUUUGUAACCUGCCUCCUAAAUGAAUACCAACAAAGAGUUUUUUAAUGCUGCACUUUCAAUCGCAUAAAAUACUGUGCAUAUUGUAGCCCUUGGAUGAUGCGUGAAAGCAUGAAAUAUCUUCAUUUUGGUCAAACUACCAUGCCAAACGCAGCUGAAUAAUGCAUUUCCCCCUUCUUCAACUGAUAAUGGAUGAUGAAAUAUGUAUUUCUCCACUGUAUAUUAUCUUUUCCCUUAAACUGAUUCUAACUGUGUGGGGUUGACGUAUAUCUGCGGUUUGGUGUGGAAUUUUCUGAGAGAAAGUGCCUAAAAUUACAUCCUGUUAACAUUCCAAAUAAAUGGCAAUCUACUCUCAUCCAGAACGGCUGUACAUAAACCGAGGGUCUGAGCUGUUUAAUCAAACCCCUUGUGAACUGCACUGGCAAAGCUAAGUGGCUUUGAUAAUUAAUAAAGAUAUUUUAGCCGCACCACUCUCCAGACCUCACUGGCAAAUAAUUCCCUGCAGUCUUUUGCUGCCAUCUUUCUGCAUCUGACUCGAUAUGAAGUGAUAAAUGUUAGUUUGGGUAAUGCAGUUAAUAAGAAUGAUGACACUAGGAAAGGAAAGCUGUAUUGUUAUGUCUCACAGAACCUUUCAUGAACAUAUCUGAGGUUAUAUUUCAUCCCCAA
ensembl:lncRNA